GGAAACAGCUUAAGUAUCCCAUCUUACGGUUCUGGAGGUCAGAAGUCUGAGAUCGGCAUCACUGGGCUAAAGUCAAGGUGUGGGCGGGGCUGGUUGCUCCUGGAACCUCCAGGGGAGAAUCGUCUCCUUGACUUUUCCAGCUUCUAGAGGCUGCCUGUACUCCUGGGCUCAUGGCCCCUUCGUCCAUCCUCAGAGUGCAUCACUCCAACCUCGGCUUCCAUCAUCACAGCACCUUCUCUUCUGACGCUGACCCUCUGGCCUCCCUCUUACAAGGGAGGCUUGUGAUUCCGUGGGGGCCACAGGAGAAUUCAGGCCGCUCUUCCCAUGUCACCACCCUUAGCAGAAUCACGUCUGCAGAGGCCCCGUUACAAUGAAUGCUGGGUCCAAUCGCGUUUCCCAAAAAUCCAUGUCCACCUGGGACCUCAGAAUGGGACCUUAUAUGGAACUAGGGUCUCUGCAGAUGUAAUCACAUUAAGAUGAUGUCACACUCAACUAGGAUGGGCCCUAAUCUAGUGCCUGAUGUCUUCAUAAGAAGAGGAAAGUUUGGACACAGAUGCACCGGGAAGGUGGCCAUGUGAAGAGGAAGUCGGAGAUUGGAAUGGCCACAGACGGGACAUCAGGCAUUGCCGGCCACCAGAAGCUGAGACAUGUGCAGAUGGAUCCUCCCUAGGCCCUUCGGGAAGAGCAUGGCCCCUUCGACACCUUGAUCUUGGACUCCUGGCCUCCAGGACUGUGGGAAAAUGCGUUUGCGUUGUUUGAAGCCCCCUGUUUCUGGUACUUAGUUACAGCCGCCCUAGGAGCAAAUGCAUCGUGUAAGGGCACAUUUGCAAGCUCCAGGAGUCAGGAACAGGCCUAGACGGGGUGCCAUUAUUCAGCCCUCCACAGACCCUUAGCAGGGCGGAGAAAUGGGCCAAGCCCCCUGUCAAGGAAGAGCUGGAGAGUGGAG
rnacentral:lncRNA from 10 species